GACGAACCGUGCUAACGUUGUUCGGAAUCACUGGGCUUAAAGGGCGCGUAGGCGGCUUACCAAGUCAGGCGUGAAAUUCCCGGGCUCAACCUGGGGCUGCGCUUGAUACUGGUGAGCUUGAAUGCGGGAGAGGAUAGUGGAAUUCCCAGUGUAGAGGUGAAAUUCGUAGAUAUUGGGAAGAACACCGGUGGCGAAGGCGGCUCACUGGACCGGAACUGACGCUGAGGCGCGAAAGCGUGGGGAGCAAACAGG
rnacentral:rRNA from 1 species